GUCUGUCUGUCUGUCAACGUGGAUGCCGGUGUGUUCUUGCACUGUUUAACAUUUGAAGUUGUUUUGGUAAUUUAAUAAUAAAAUUUUAAAAAAUGUCGGGACGUCAAGGAGGGAAGAAAAAACCUUUAAAGGCACCUAAGAAAGAGAAAACAGAAUUUGAUGAGGAUGCUGAAAUGAAGCAAAAAAAGAAAGAAGAAGCAAAAGCUUUGGCAGAAGCAAGAGAAAGGGCUGCUAGAGGACCUUUAGGUGGUGGUGGCAUUAAAAAGUCUGGGAAAAAAUGAAAGUAUCAAAUUUGAAAGGUUUUGAUGACAGCAUAUUUUUAAUUUUCAAUGUUUUCAAUUCGUGCUGAAUUUGUCCUUUCCUUGCAUUUAUAAACUUGUACAUAACUGCAUUUGUAAACCAUCAGCAAAUAAACGUUUUCCGCAUUUUA